rnacentral:rRNA from 1 species
UACGGGGGGAGCAAGCGUUGUUCGGAUUUACUGGGCGUAAAGGGCGCGUAGGCGGUCGUGACAAGUCACUUGUGAAAUCUCCGGGCUUAACUCGGAACGGUCAAGUGAUACUGUCGGACUAGAGUACAGAAGGGGCAACUGGAAUUCUCGGUGUAGCGGUGAAAUGCGUAGAUAUCGAGGAGGAACACCUGGCGGCGAAGCGGGUUGCUGGGCUGAUAACUG